UACUUGCAGGAGAUACAACGUAAUUUCGAGUUACAUCGAGUUACGUCGAGCUGCAUCGAGAGAUAAUCGAUCGGCGGGACGCAUUAAAAACGCCAGUUCCGACGAAUGUAAAUUAUUAAGCUGCUUAUUUUUCCAGCUCGGUGUGCGCCCGAUAUGCCGAAGUUUUGUUCUAAGUGGCACUUUUAAUUACUAACCGCAGGCGCAGGGCUAGGUACUUUCGUAUCGCGAGUGCACCUCGCGUGGGCAGCCGUGUAAUGCAAUUAGCCGGACGCAUCGAGCGAUCGCGUGGGAGAAGAAGGCGAGCUAGCGGGACGAUGCGUGACUCGCUCGUUAGGUCGUAGAUGAAUUUGUUGGGCUUGUUUUCAAGCUCGACCGUAAAACUCGAUGCUGCUCUUAUCCGCGUAUCGCCAACCUCGUUAAUUCGGAAGAGAGCUAAAAUCAACGAGAACGAUAAAACUCAGAUAAGGUUUCAGAUAUCGUUAUCUCCCCGUAGGAGAGAGCAACAAGGAUCUGCAACCAUUACUCCCUUCAUUUAAUGAGCGUCUCAAUUAGAGCCGAGAGUAAGUGGAGUCGACCUGAGACGUUGUGACCUGUGAAGACCUACGACCUAUCCACGUCCUUCGGAACCGCUUUUAAUGAAUGACUCGCUGCAUCGCGCAUCCCCGACGCUAGCCUUCUGCGCGUGGCGAAAAUGCGAGAUAUCGUGUCGCGCAUUGAUGUCACCCGGAAUGGAAAUGCAGACAUCUUACGAACAAUGCCAUAUUGUUUAGUCUCAAAGUUGCGGAGAUUUCUCGAACGCGAUAAAUAAAUGCUAAUCGCAUUGACUCGUGAGCACUUUAAAAAAUUCUUUUUUGAAGAUCUACGAGCAGUUUCUUUCGUUUCCUCGCGAGAUAUUAAUCUAAAAAUAACUACGUGCAUUUUAGAUUCUACUUGUUCGUUCGAACUGUUCGUUUGAUAUAACAUUAAACGUUGUGAGAGUCUCAGCACACUCGAAGAGACAGUUCUUCGUCUCGGCGACACGGCCGCGACGAUGCUCCUCGCGUUGCCGAUAGCGAGUUGCACACGUCGCUCUCAAUAAUUUAUGAAUUCUAUCUUCCACCGCGAACUAUCUCUGCGCGAACCCCAGAGGAGAUACUCGUCGGGACCUUGUGACGAUCUUAGCAAAAUAUAAUACGUAAUAAUACGACGAAGCAAAAAAAGUCGAGUGAGCGUAAUAACGAAAGAGAUCACUUUUAAACGACGAACCACUAUGCGAUAUCGAUGUCUAAUUUGAUCUUUUAACUCUUAUGCACUCUCAUUAACUUGUGUCAAAAUUCGAGUUACUAACCUGACGAAAACAUUCAUUAAAACGACGAAGAUUAGAUUACGUAUAACUUUAUCUGAUUUGUUUACUUCUCUCGAUAAUAUAAAAGUGAAUUCAUAAAUCGAUCUCUCGCCGCUGCACGAGUACUUCAUAAUAAGAAAUAAAAGUAAAAUAGCUUUAGUAAAUAAUAUUUUAUAGUGAUAAAUAAAUUAUGCGAAAAGUAACGAAAUGAAAAUGAGAUUAAAAUCCGUGCGCAGUGCAUACCUCGGUGCCUUUUUCUCUCGUGAACUCGCAGACGGAUCGAUAAUGAGAACAGGAGAGAGAGAGAUGAAAAGUGAGAGAGAAAAGAGGAAAAAGAGGAUGAUAAGGAUGAAGAAGGGAGAAGAAUUAUUGCGAAGUCAGGAUACUUCUCGGAUGCUCUAGCGGAUCAUUCGAGUGCGAUCGACCUGUGAAAAGGGGGUGGAAUUUAACCCUUCGCCGAGCGGAUCCAUUUCCAGCAAAGAUUCCACUCGAUUCGCUUCCCGCGUAAUUCGAUUCAUUUUUAAUUCCGGACUAAUCGUUCUCUCCAAGAUGGCUCGACGACUUUUUAAUUUACCAGCCUCGACGACGCCUGGGCGCGUUUCGCGUCAUAUAAUUUAUUUUUUUUUACAUUUCACGCUUAUCCGUUAAUUCGUAAUCCUCGGAAUACCUCGCUUCGCGCGAACAAAGCCGCUCGGCCCGGUAUCGCAGUUUUUCUAGCCGGAGAAACUACAAUGAACAUGCAGAAUCAUCCUUCGGCAUGUUUCCCAAUUACACCGUUCGCCUUUUGUUCUCACGAGUAUGGUGCUGGCUCGUAUUAUAGUUGAAUUGAAGUGCGCGGCCGUAUGCAAGUAUUAUAUGAAAUACACGUGCGCGCAUAUGUGAUGCAGCGGAGUCAAGAUGCUGCAUCACAUAUGAAGACACUCCAAGUUGGCAAAAGGGCAAACGAUACUAAAAUAACUGAGUAUUCGAAGUCUCUCUAUACGCGUGUGUAUUCACAACCUCGUUCCUAUCGAUUAACUUUGGCAUUUCGAUAGAAGUUGUGGAAUACAUGUGCGCUAUCGAGAGGAUGCCUCAGUACCUAUUAUAUUCGCUCAGUACCUAUUAUAAAUAAACGCGUAAUUGUAUGCGCACAAGACUUUCUUCUGGCUAAGUACGUCUCGUUAUAAUAUUCCAGGUCUGAACUUUGUUAAUAAAAAAGAUCCGAAAGUUAAAGUAACAUGUAACUUCACGCUUUAUCUACACUUCGAUCUACUUGUUUUUGUUUUAUUCUUUUUAUUCUUAAUUUUUUGAUGAUGUAUUUAUUAACUGCAACGCUCAGAUCUUAUUAAAAAGAAUGCCAGAGAGCAUAAAAGAUUAAAGUUUUAUUGUAUAACUUCUCUUAUCCGUGUUUUGCCCUGUGCUGCGAGAUGAAGUAAUUUACAUUUAAGAGGCAGUCUUUUAGAAUGAAGCCGGUGCUUAAUGAACACCAUUUAGAUGAAGUUUUUCUGGAGAGUAUUAUCUCAGAAGAAGCAACGCCGUGCUGUUCCACUUAUAACAACGUUUAUUUAAACGCAGAGAUAUCCGGACUUCUACAUGCAGCUAUGGAAGUUAAUUAAUUUAAUUACUUCUUUGGAAAAAUGUGGUACGUGACCGCACGAAAUGUUAAAAUGAUUGAUCACGAACUGAACAAGACGAUAUUAAUCGAUAUUAAGAAAAAACAUAAAAAACAUAAGCAUGAAUUUGGGAGAUGUGGGAACUUGUAUCAAGUUUCGUAAUUCUGCGCGGACAAUUGCGCUUUAUAACUGAAACGGUACUUUGCAUAAUUGAAUUUAAGUAUACUCUGAACGCCAAUUGUGGCUUUGCAUGGUCAGUGUGCCAAGAUCGCACGGAACAAUGAACGUUACACUAUGCGAAAUCCUCUGGCACCGCGCUCGUUGCCGCAGCUGCUCCGGUAACUUAUGAAUUAAACACUCUCCAUUGAUAUUAAGUCAAUAAAACCAUACUGACGAUCGUUACGUUGUAUUACUAACUUCUCACUAUUGUUCCAACGGAGAGAUUAAAGGAAUCGCAAGAGAUGAAAGAAAAUGUUUCACGGAGUUUGAUAGAAGAGAUUAAAGAAAAAUACAACGACUCAGCAAUAUAUCAUUAAAUAUCAUAAAAGCAUAAAGCACACGUAUGCACGCUUGUCUCCGUAAAAGAAACACUUGCAUUUAUCGAUUCAUUUACGAAUCGAUAUAUCCGCGUCGAGAGAUGCGGACCAACAAGCACCGCUCUCCUUUCAUUCGGCCUACAUUGCGUGCGUUUAAGGACACGUAAACGAGAAUCCGGUGCAAAGUGAAAGCAAAAGUUUCGUACUUGUAAAAGCGAGAGGAGGAUGCGUUCUCAACGAGGUCGACCAAUGCCAAGUUCAAGGUCGCCUAACGUGUCAGAACCAACUUCCGUAUCGUACGCAUUUGCAUCAUGGCCCGUAUACAGGCCCGUGCACCUGUAAAGCCCAGGGGGCUUGACGCCCACGACGCCUGACGCCCACGUGGUCCGUCGGGAACUGGAGUUAUAAAAUUCAAAAAAAUCUUCAGAGACCUCGAAUUUACCGGUAGAUCAAUUCCAUCCAUAAAGUCGCCUUUAUCCUUAGUAACUCGUGAUAAUUGUCCUUAUAUUUAAUGACCCUCCAUUUCAUCAUCGAGUGCUAUCGCGCAAUUAAUAAAAGUAAAAGUGAAAAUCACCCUACUAAAGAUGCUCUUUAAACAUACAUUUAAUGACAGCAUGAUAAAACUGCUUUAUCUCUACGAACUCUCAGCACUCGACGUGACAAAUUCGACUAUCACUUCAAAUUAAGCCUAAUUAAAGAAAAGUUAAAGAAAAAAACAGAGAGUCUCGUCGACUUUUUACGAGCGUACCGAUUAAUCGCGAUUUACACGUGACUCGUCCGACAAGUUCCCAGUUCCCAGGAGGUACCUUGAGCAACAGCACCUGGCACGCAGGUGAUUCGGCCCAUGUAGUCCUUCUGCGAGCUCGUUACGUAAACGAUCGUGCGAGUCGCGAGGCAGAACGUUCGCCGGGAGAUAGGGACGAACUUAAACGUCGACGCUUGAUCUUCCUCCAUGCUCAAUCUCGAGUUCUCUUACCGGCCCGAAUGGUUAAGUAAGCUUAUGUAAUCGGCGAGCGUUUCACGAGCGUACGUAUCUCGCACGCGGGUUUCUCACGAACGCGCUUUUCUUGCGCGUGCAUUACGGCGUUCUUGUGUCUUGACGCGCAUAAAAUGGAGAAAUAAGGACGACAACAACCGUUUAUGCAAUCGAGCAAUCGAUCCGAUUCGUCGAAAGACUGUUAAUACGAAUUCGUCACAGCAACCGGCUAGUUGAGACCGACUUGAACGUUGCGAUUAUUAACGUAGGAUUGCAAGUCCCUUUUGUCUGAACGCCAGCAAGGCGACCAUCAGAUUUUAAUAGCGCGUACUUAUACGAGCGCAUUAAUUCCAUGGACGUGCACGUGCGGGACCGCGACUCGUCACUUGCAAUCCUCUCGACUAAUCCGCACGCUGACGCCGCUUUUUGCUUGAAAACACGGCGUGCCAUCAAUAUUAUCUGCAUGCUCUCGUACUGUCCGUGCUUGCAGAACACCUGCUUAAUUCUUUUCAAUUCAUACUUGAUUCAUUGGGUCUAUGUUCGUGUUGGUGAUUAAUAGGAUGCCAGAUUCCUUCAACGGCUUUGUCAUAAAUAUCUCAGAGAGAGGCUCUCGUUCUUAAUGAAUAAAACUUCAAGCCUGAAAGGCGGGAGCACGCAUAAACGAUUAUGAGCUGAAUUGGCGUAGAUUGAGGACAGCCCGCGCUGCUCGCCGUCAAGAACAUCGCGAUUGAAAGUGGAAACACAGCGCGCAAUUAAAGCGGAGCGGCAGCACUGCCAGCAGCAAUAAAAUUCCAUUCGACGUCGCAACUUGGAGGCGAACGCGCGUGCUCGCUCACUCGCUCGAAAGAAUUAACGGGGCGAGUAAUCGCGUAACCUCGCGAAUACCAUAAGAGCACCGCGAUCGCGAAGAAGAGGGAAGAAGAAAAAGAGCCCACGAAGAACUACGCACAUGCGGCGACGUUUCCACGCGAGCGGGGAGGACCUAGAUAGAUCAACACCGGCGGCAACGACGCCGACCGCUGCAUUCCAUCGUCGUAAAAGUGCUCGAGGAGCUCCAAGGACUACGAGUCGGCGGCGGCGAGCAGAAGGAGCAGCGGCGGGGCGGAGAGGGGCGAGGGGGAAGCGAAAUUCAAAAAGGGAAACUCCGCGGCGGAGGGACACGAUGAGGAAUGCCGGCUGCUUGUCGCAAUCCUCUUGGGCAAUCGCCCUCGAAACGAUGAACGGAACAACGCUACACGCGCCCGCCGCACCUCGCCGAGACGCUAAUUACGAGCAUUACCGGCGCGAUUAGUUCUCUCGACGCUCUUUAUGCAUCGAAAGAUAAAACUCGUUAAUUAUUAGCGUAAGUUCGCGAGCGUCUCAGAUUUUUUGAGCGAUUUCUAUAUCCAGAGGCGACUCUGUGCAUAAGGACUGCAACGAUCGCCGGUAAUUAAUGCGCAUCGUUAUGGCGAGCCAUUCUAGCUUUCAAUGGCUUUCGCGCAUGAAUAACUUGUAGUAAUAAAGCAACGCCUCUCCGUCGCACUGGCGCAAAUAGUGCACGGAGAAUAAAUGUGCAACCAUCAGACGGUUAUGCGUAAUUACGAGUAAUGAAUCUUCCCGCUUGUCGUUGUAUUAAGCAUGCUGGGCUAGAGUUCUUGCAAGUAGAAUUUUAAAUCGAAUGUUGUCGAAUCACGGUUUCUUCGUGAAUUUAAAGAAAUUUUGUAAAUUUUAUCGAUUUUAAAUUUUUUAAAUUCGAAAAGAAACCGGCAAACGAGAAAUGGAACUGCGUAAUGCAUAGAGCAAAUGAUUCGAGCAGCUGCCGAGGUAGCACCUUAUCGGGUUUACCGCACGACGUGUCUAUCCUAUUUUAGAUCUAUGUCAUUCACACAAAGCGGUUUCAGUUUAUUUAGUCGUUUUCCACGAACAGAUGGCUAACUAGAACGCCAUAGAAAGUAUGCGAAAUGAGAAAUCAAAAUUUCAGUUGAUAAAUGACAAGCAUUUGAUGGCAAACGUGUCAAAAAGAUAAACGAAUUACUCGUUUUUCGAAAUUUUUAUCGAAUAUUUUAUGUGGUAAAGUGUAUUUCUAUUUAUUGCAAUUCGGAGUAGCGAUUUUCGAAACGAAAGAAAAUUGAGAAUUCUGUGAUUAAUUUAUCAGCGAGAUACGAGAGUAAUGGAAACGAAAUAUCUCGUUUUUCUCGUAUAAGUAGCGGGAAAUUCUAUCUUUUUGAUAUCUAAUUACAAUAAAACAAUUUCAUUUCAUCAUUUAUCACGCGUGAUAGCGGAACUUUCUGCCGUUAUUAAAAUCACGCGUGAAUCUUUCGUCAAAUAUAAAACAAAUCAUUAAUUUCUCCCUUCAAUGAGAAAGAUCAAGGGAGGGAGAUAUUUCUUGCUCUUUUUUAAUCUUCCAACAGUCAUAUACGAGUAUGAAAAAUCUGAUUACAGUCAAUAAAUAUAAUCUGGCAUAAAAUAUGUACUCAAUUUAUCAUGUUUUUUUUUAACUUAAUUCAGCGUGCGAUAAAUUUAUCGACUUGUAUAUAUUAAUACUACAAAAUUAUAGCGAGCGAAACAUAUAGCGAAACAUCGCAACGCCUAAGGGCUUCGACCGAUACAAAUGCAGAUAUUGCCGAUCGCAAUUGCAAAUUGCAUCUGUGGCCCGGCUGCUCUCCUCUCCUCGUACCGAUUACAUCGCGCGUGGGAAAUAAUUGACGUUGGCCGCGACUGCCAUCCUACGACCUGUUUAACGGGUAAAAACACGAACUCGCUAGGCUAGAUUGUAAAAUUACGCGCAACUGGGUCAAUCCGCCGUCCACGUGUUAUUACACGCGCGCGGUGCCAGCGCGUCACGCCGACUGCUACGCGCUGAAAGUGCCGGACCUGUUCUAAGUGAUAAAAGUGUAAUCAAGGUUGACCAGCGGCGGUGGCGGCGACGAUCGAUCCCUUUGCAUAAAUCGUAAGAUUAACUCGCGCGGUGGCGCGGAGGAAACUGCGAAAUAAUCAAGGCUAACUGUAACUCGGACGGCGCGUUUUCUCAAGACCUAGAAUCGGCGAACCUUAUGUUUGAAGUAACAACACACGGACACCUGGUUGCGCCGACGUUGAUCAAUCACGACUAAUCACGGUUUUGAUCGCCGGCUCCCGUACUUCACCUGCGUUAUAGACGCAGUGCGUGAUUAUAAAUAAUAUCUUUACGUUCACGUGCAUCCGGCCUUUUUCAAACUGAAAAGCUCGUACGUUCGAAUUUUUCUAGCAGCCCCCGAUAACCCUGUUAUCCAAUCUCGACGAAAACAACCCGUGUGUGUGCAGUAUCAGCGAUCAGCAUUGCGCUCGGAAUUGCUUGGCGACGUUCCUAAAGCUCCUGGCGUCUCUUCUAAAGAUUCUAGUUUAAAAUUCGGAAUAAAAAAGAAAAAAAGGCGUUAAUUUGACCCGCGCAGCUGCUAUCAGGACCGACAUUGCCUCUCGCUCACCGAGGGAAGUGGGAGGCAAAAAGGAAAACUAAAUUGGAUCUAUAAAGAGGCAACAAAACGGAACCAUAAUGAUACACCGAAGAAGCACCGAUGUCCCAACCCUCUCGUCGCCGCCGCCACCGCCGUUGUUUUCCACCCGGCACUUAGUGGAAACAACAAAGUGCGUGUCCCAGGCACGCGCGCUCGCGUGCCGAACGGGCGUGUGAGAACGGCGUGUCGUGCGUGUGAAUCCGCGGGGCAGCGCGCGUGUGCCGCGCGGCGACGUUAAUGUUUGCAAUCACAAGUUGGAAAGUUUUGUGAUGGCAACCGCUCCGCCGGCCAGUUACCCUGGUAACGCUUUGUUGUGCCAUUGUGCCGAGCGGAGGAAGGGACGGUCGGGAGAAAUCCACCCCCGUUCGGGCGAACCGUCCCCCGUACGGUCGCCCGCCUCGCCGCGCCGAGAAAUUGGAUGAAACGGCCGAGCUAUCCCCCUCCGAACCCUUAACCCCUCGAUUGCCACACGGGGAACGAAGUAACCCCGGCUUGACCUAGCCCAAACUACCUACCCCCCCCCAGGCCCCAGUGCAGAUGACGAAUAAGGGGCACGCGUUUUCCUCUGGACCGACUCGGUCGGUUAUUCUCGUUUUCGUUUACGCGAUCGAGGAUUGUGAAUAAGUAUUGGUAUUUCUGGAAUGUUUCUUGUUGAUUCGUAGAGAUUAUUCGUUUUAUUGAUGUUGAAGGUCUACAAAUAUACGUAAUCGAUAUGCGUACCUUGUAUAGGUAUUGAAUACAAAUUACUCGGUUUUGAAAAAAUGAUCUCGCCAUCGGUCCGCGAUUACUUUGCGCUUCGACCAGACGCGAGUCAGUCGUUGCAAGUUCAUGAAGGUAUGCUUAGACGCAAAAACAAGGCCAGAAGAGGAAAGAAGAGAGAGGAUAGGAUUCCGAUCCAAGCGAGCGUUUACGCGAUCGAUUUAAGUCAAUGCGGUGUUAUUAACGCAAAUGGAAUUGACAUCGCGAGAUGGAUAGACAAGAGAAUUCGAAUUGUAUCACUUGGAAAAGCACGGCGCGUCACGAGCGAUUGCCCGCACGAUAAAAAUGCCUUCCAGAUUGAACUAUUAAUAGAAUUGUUGCUCAGGGAAUUCUCAGAACGCGCCGCGUUCACGUAUAUUCCGGCAUCACCAAUGUACGACACAUACACGAUUUUCCUCCGAUUUCCAAUAGCUUACUCGAACGGCUAUCACGUAAUAAAGACAGUUUCCAACGUGACAAGAAGAAUCUGACAUGGACACUAUUUUCCUCUGACACCACGACAGUUUCAAUGCGGAAAAAAAAUAAAAACGGAUACUCUGAAACCAUCGCACAUAAAAUGUAUCCGAUAUGGAUUUAUUGGUGGUAUACCGUGAAUAUCCUGUUUGGACGUGCGUGGAAAAAGCUUCCUAUUUCUCUAUUUAGCGAGGAAAUCUCCAGUAAGCAGGAAACAUAAAUCAACAUUGUGAACCGAGCGGUUUGUUACGCUUGCUCACAUCGACGGAACGUAAAAUGCUUAUUAGCGGGAGAAAAAUUGUUAAUCCUCGAUAUUAAUUUAAUCGACGAAGCCGAUUAUGUCAAUUCCUCAACAGAAAAUAUUUCCAAUGCGCAGGAAAGAAUGCAUCCUCCCAUUACCGUCAGUAACAUCAGAAAUAUCGUCGUACAACACAACUCUCACUGCUGAUAUUAUGAGAUUGUUAUUAUUAUUAUUAAAUAUUUCGAAAAUCCAUCUUAAAAGCAUCAGUGAUUUUAUUACAGUUGAAAAACUUUCGAUUCGCGCGUACGAGCGGAACAAGAACGUUCCAGGCCGAAUCUCUUACCGCGCGCGUAACAGCGCGCUUAUCGCGCGAGAUAACGCUCGCGCAGAUAUCAGACUCGCCUUCACCUCGUAACGCGGUGCGGAUAAACAAAGCGUUAUGCCACGUUUAUAGCAGAUACUUUCCUCGAGUUAUCAUUAUGUGAAAAUGCCAAUUUAGAAAAUUAGCACAGCAACUUCAAACAAAUAAGUCUUGAUUACGGUGAAAAUAUGAUUUACUGCUCUUGGCCGUGGAAUAACCACCGAUUUGCUAUUUCAUUCAUCCAGCGAUCUGACGCAACGUCAUUAAAACGCGACUCGCCAUCAACGUUCGCGUCCUAUAAUCAUCGCAUUCCAGUAAGUACAUUCGUGACGCCGCAAAAGGAAACCGAAUAGGGCGACGAGAACGUGAAAAUCCGGGAACGCGCCCUGCGAGAAUAUCGACUCGACCGUCAAAGCUUUUCCACGGUCGCGUAAGUACGGCCGCCCGCGCGGCGCGGCGCCGCACCGCGCGCUUCUGGAGCGGCGCGUAUAACCUCCAAACGCGACGCGUACUCGCCACCGCGGUGGAAACGCGUCGUUGCGCGAGAGGUGUUCCACGUUGAAGGGAGACCGUCGAAGGAUCAAGAGGAUCGACAUCGUGAUCCAGCCUUGGCCGUGGCCACGCGAUCGAAAGCGCGCGCGACGAAAGGACGCGGCGCGAUGCGCGACACACGUCACGAUGGUCGACCGAAAUUAACCCCCUCUCGAAAGAAAAGAAAAA